UACGUAGGGUGCAAGCGUUGUCCGGAAUUAUUGGGCGUAAAGAGCUCGUAGGCGGUUUGUCGCGUCUGCUGUGAAAACGCGAGGCUCAACCUCGCGCCUGCAGUGGGUACGGGCAGACUAGAGUGUGGUAGGGGAGAUUGGAAUUCCUGGUGUAGCGGUGGAAUGCGCAGAUAUCAGGAGGAACACCGAUGGCGAAGGCGGAUCUCUGGGCCAUUACUGACGCUGAGGAGCGAAAGCGUGGGGAGCGAACAGG
rnacentral:rRNA from 1 species